UGCUUUUGCCCUUCCAUGUAGAGCAGCUGUCAGGAACUCGGGACACUUUCCCAGUCCAGUUCACAGAAGGAAGUCCAGAAGGCCAGAGGCUUAACCCAGUAGUGUCUGAGUACCUGCUUGGCAAAGCCUUCUACGGCCAAAAUGGAAACCCUGAAUCCACUACCAGGAGUUCUAGGUAAGACAAGCCAAAAGUCAGAAAGACCAUCUCUGGACAUGGCCUCAAAUUAAGAGCUCCUCCAGUCCAACUAAAAGUUAAAGUAACUCCUGCUCUGGAAAACAGUACACAAGGGUGAACUGCCCAGCCUCCUUCCUGCUCUGCUGGCCAAAUCCAUGGCAGGUCCAAGUCACAUGCCUCUUUUCGUGAAGGAAAAAUCAUCAGCACCUCCUACAAAGGUCUUCCCAAUCACUUCAUUUGGGGGGUAGGGGUGUGGAUUUUAAAACUUUGAAGACUACGUCACACUCACCUGGCCCCUCACCUCUGGCUUUGACAACCAUCUUGCUUUACAAGUGAAUUCCGACAGGAUUCUAAAGAUGGUCACAAUGCAGGUGCCAGGAAUGCCUUCCUGGGUACAUGGAGUUCCCGCCCACAACCACAGAAGACAUUACAGAGGACUGCCCAAAAGGUAUGAAAUGGCAACCUGACAACAACCUUACUUAAAAGCCAGUAAAGACAUCAGAAAAGAUGUUGGUGUGCAGCAAAAAACCCUUCACAGCGCCUCACAUGGGCAAAACCAAAGAGACCUUAGUCACACAACAGCAAUGGCAAGAUUUUCACCCAAGCAAUCUGACUUGGAACCCAUGGAUUAACCAACUCACUAUACUGCCACUGGAGGCAAAUCCAGAGACCAAGGGAGCAGUUUAUACAGAAACAGAUGCCGGCAUUAACCCACAGGGAGUUAUUGUUACAGACUGAAGAACAGAAAAAGAAAAAGCCAGAUAGAGCCUUAUUCCACCCAGCUUAGCUUCCAUAGAACAUUGUGAAUGAGAGAGUAGAUUCUUGAGAAAAUCCUGGAGUUACCCAGUUUUCAUGACUCGUUUCGUUAGACCAUCAUUUCCCAAACUGUGUUCUUUAUAAAAAAGCAGUUCUUCAGAAGGCUGGAAAGUAUUGUUUGGAAGGGGGUUCCAUGGUGAAGUCAGUUUGGAAUGCAGGGUUUACCCAAUUUUGAGAAGUUUCUUUGCAGGACUUCUCAGGGCCUUUGUGAAUCUCCAAGAAAAGAAUGUAGUAUGAAAGAUGAAAACUUUCUCCUGGCUGAUGGAACACACAUUGCAAAGCACUUCUAUAGACCAAUAUGAUUUCCAGUAAGAGCUAAAUAAAUUUUGUCAGUUGUUAAGGCAUAAAACAUUAAUAUAGGAUAUUACAGUCCUAGGCUUGCAUUACUUAAUUUGGAUUUUUCACCUAAGAAAAAUUAACUUUAAUGUGAAAAAUUAGGAGACAAUAUAGAGAAAAUUCAAGAGCCUCUCCAGAUAAAUUCUUAGAACUAAUGACAAAGUUCUCUAAAGUUUCUGGAUAUAAGAUGCCUGGGAUGCUGGAGGGGGAAAUACUUUCUUAUUUAUUAAUAGCAAGCAAUUAGAAUAAUAUUUUAAAUACCAUUUAUAAUAGUAUCAAAAUCUAUAAAGUAUCUAGGAAUAAGUCUAAUAAAAUAUGGCCAAAACA